rnacentral:rRNA from 1 species
CGCGUAGGCGGUUGUUUAAGUCAGAUGUGAAAGCCCUCGGCUUAACCGAGGAAGUGCAUUUGAUACUAGACGACUUGAGUAUGGGAGAGGGAAGCGGAAUUCCUGGUGUAGCGGUGAAAUGCGUAGAUAUCAGGAGGAACACCGGUGGCGAAGGCGGCUUCCUGGACCAAUACUGACGCUGAGGCGCGAAGGCGUGGGGAGCAAACAG